AUUGCAGCGAUUUACAUAAAGGAGUAUUAUCUUCUUAUCUUCUAUACAUAACUUUGCAUAAGUAACUAAUACAAUUAAGCCAAAUCAUCUCCAACAUAAUUAGCCUUUACAGACUUAGAAUCAAACUGUGGUUUAGCAUCUAGGACCAAUGGAAUGCUCCUGUUAUACCAUUUAGCCCAGAAGAGAUAAUUCACAAAGUUGAUCAAACUCAGUACUGCUAGAAACCAGUAGAAAAGAUCCAUCCUGUCGGGAUUCAGAUCAUUCUCCCCCAUCCAUCCGCGGCUCGAAGAAUUAGAAGUGAUCUUGUUCACCAAAGAAACAAGGACAGAGCUUAGGUAAAAGCCAAAUGAGUAUGAGCAGUAAGUCAUGGCAGUUAAAAAAGAUUGCAUCCCUUUAAUGUUUUGCUUGUAAAAGAACUCGAUUAAUCCUAUUGCAGUAAACAUUUCAGAUAAGCCGAAGAUCAAAUAUUGUGGUGUUAUCCAAAAUAUGGAGAUGAUUUCAUUAGAUUCCACUGCUGCAACCCUUCUUCUUUUCUCCAUUAUCGCAGCUGCAACCAUUGAAAAAGUUGCGACAAAGAGGCCAAGCCCUAUGCGCCUCAUAAUCUGUCGUAGAGAGGGACCAAAAAGAUUAGGAUGAUGUAAGGGAUGGCUUGAAGGGAAGCAGGAGGAAUGUGGAAAGAUCUGGUGAGUUGAGUAUCCAUGGAACUUCCUUGUUGAACUGAGAAUGUCUGGAGUUGUGAUAAUAUGGUGUUGAAUACAAUGGUGCAUGCAAAUAUUGGGACAACUGUUAUUAGUAUUUUCACUUGUUCAACUUGGUUUACUGUGCAUAAACUCCAAGCACUUUCACUUAUGUUGCCUUCUGGUCCUGUUUUUAUACAAGCUUUAUUCAAGAACCUGAAAUUUGGAUAUAAAUAUAUUAGGUGGAGAUAUGCAUGCAUUUAUGUAUCAAUCAUAAGAAAACUAUGUAGGCAUGGCAAAACCGAUGUUCUUCUAAAAUCUCAAGAUUGUUAUAACGAGUUUUAGCUGGGUCAAAACUUAGUUAGUUUGACCAAUAAAAAUAGAAAUGUAACAACUAAAAAGAGAUGGAGAGAGUAAAAAAGAUUGCAUCCAUUUGAUGUUUUGUUUGUAAAAGAACUCGAUCAAUCCUAUUGCAGUGAAGUUUUGAGGCAUUGUGCUUAAAUUCUAAAAAAUCUAUAUCAAUUAUGCAACACUUUAUCAAGAAUUCGCACAAAAUCAAAAUCAGAUAUAAUACAUUAAAAUCCAUAGAUUAAAAAAAAUACUUUAAAAUCCUAGUUGAAUAUGCCUUUUUAAACACAAAAAUUCACAAUUCACAACGCUAGUUACAAAGUAUGUAUCAUACAUUGUACAACAACAUUGAGUAUUUUGAUUUGAUUAUUAUAUUAGGAAAGAUGUAUUCAACCACGAUCUUGGAUCUUAAUAGAUUAUAUAUAACUUAUGGAUUUUAACAAAAUGUAUCCGAUUUUGAUUUUAUGCGGAUUCUAAAUCAAAUGUUGUAUUGGAUUGGGAUUUUAAAGCAUUUUUUUGCAUUCAUAAAAUCCGAGGGUAUUCGAUUGAGAUUGUUUGAAAUCCAUUAAAAUCUUGAGGUAUUCAAUUGGGAUUUUAAAUUAUGCUAUAAAAUCCGGUAGUAUUCAAUUGGAAUUUUAAAUUAUGUUUUAAAAUCCAACGAUAUUCAAUUGGGAUCAUCUUGAGGUAUUCAAUUGGGAUUUUAAAUUAUGCUAUAAAAUCCGGUAGUAUUCAAUUGGAAUUUUAAAUUAUGUUUUAAAAUCCAACGAUAUUCAAUUGGGAUCGUUUAAAAUCCAUUAAAAUCUGAUGGUAUUCAAAUGCUGAUGGAUUUUUUUGGAUUUCAUAAAAUGAUGGAUUUUGUGGCAUUCUUCAGUGUAUUUUAAGUUUUUUGAAAUCCCACCAAAAUCAAUGAGAUUUUGAAGCAUUGUGCUUAAAUUCUAUCAACUCUGCGACAUUUUAUCAAGAAUCCACACAAAAUCAAAAUCACAUGCAAAAUCAAUGAGAUUUUGAAGCAUUGUGCUUAAAUUCUAUCAACUCUGCGACAUUUUAUCAAGAAUCCACACAAAAUCAAAAUCACAUGCAAUCUAUUAAAAUCCAUAGACUAAAAACAAUCCAUUAAAAUCCCAAUCGAAUACACCCCCCCUAAUGGAUUUUGGUGGGAUUUCAAAAUUUCAAAAUACACUAAACAAUCCCACAAAAUCUAGCAUUUUAUGAAGUCAAAAAAAAAAAUCAAUCAGUUUUUAAUAAAUUUUAAAUAUCCAAAACAAAUAUCAUCGGAUUAUUAGACAUAAUACAAAAUCUUGAUCGGAUACUACCAGAUUUUGUUACAUAAUUUAUAAUAUCCCAUGAGUUGAAUACACCUAUAUUUCAUAAAUGAAACGGAAUCUCAUGAAAUCUCAAUUGAAUAUACGGCUGUAAAUUGCAAAACAAAUAUCACAAUUGAAAACGCCAUUAUAAAUUGCAAAACAAAGAUUUUUUAACUGUUGUGCACGGUGCGGGCAGGGAUUGUAGCAGCGGUGCCUCCCAGCUUGGUGCUUAAAUACUGGCACACCAGAACUAGGUCGGGAAGAUAAUGUGAAGCUGAUUACUUCUGGAGUUGAAGAAAAAGUAAAAUUUUACAUUUUCAUUUAUCGAUGACCAACCUAGCACCCAAUGUGAAGGACACAAAACUCUCUGGUUCCUAUAUUGAAUCGAAGGUAAAUUCAUUUUCUUUUUUGUCUCCUUGAUUGUUGUGAUAUUUACAUAAUUGGUGUUGUGAUAUUUACAUAAUUGGUGAUGGUUGAGUAUGGUAGAAUUAGUAUGGUAUUUAAAAAAAAAAUUUGUUUUAAGUAGCAAUAGAUCGGUAAUGUUUUAUGUGCCUUGCUUUUUUAUUUAUGUACUAGCCUUUAACCCGUGCGAAGCACGGGCGGGUAUAUAAUUCGUAAUUUAUUAUUUAUAAUUUAAAUUUUAACAUCAUUUUAUUAGUAUUUUAGUAUUAAUGGAUUAAAUUUUAAUUAAAUUAUAUUAUUCAACUGACUAUAUUUUCUCCCGAUUAUUUGAAAAUGGAUAAACCCUAAUAAAUAUAGCGGAUCGUGUAAUACCUUUGAAAGAUUCAGUAAUCUAAUAAAUUGAAUUUCAACAUAAUUUUGUAAUUUUGGUUUUUUUGACAACAACAACUUUUAAAAUUAGAGUUGGAAAGGGUUAUGUAAUGGUUCGUGUUAGUUAAAAAGAGUUAUAUGAAUGUUAUUGUUAAAUAUCUUGUAUAUUUAUAAUUUUAUUUAUAACAUUAUUAUAAUUUUUUAAUGAAAUAUUAUAUGAUAAUAGAUUGUUAUGAGUGUUUUUAGUAUUUGAAACUGUUUAACAAUAUAAUACUAAUAGACUCCACAUUUGUAGACUUGUAGUACCAAAAGGAGAGUACCAAACCAAAAAAUAUAACUAAAAACUUGGACUACAAAUUAUACCCAUGUUGGCUUAUUAUAGUAUAGUAUAGAUUGGCUAUAAUUGUCUGAAUAGUUGCCCGUUGGAAAAAAAUAAAUAAAUUAAUUUAAAACAUAUAUUUUGAAAAACAAUUUUUACUAGCAGUCUUAUGAGUCUCAAAAAUAGCAAAUUACGCACCUUAUAACUGUCACUAUGUUAUGAAAGCAUGAUUUAUGAUCUUUGAUUCUCUGACUUCAUUGGUAAACUACGCCAAGACUCGACCCUUCCAAUUUUCAUUGUCUCGGAAAUGAUCAACAUUCAUUUCGAACACAGUAGAUGCUUCAGUUUUUGGAAAACCAAAGCAUGAUAAUCAUGAUAAAGUACCUCUUCUAGUUGAAUCAGGUGUUGAACUUGAAAAAGUAGGCUCCCUGGCAUAAGCUCGAAUGGAGACGUAUCCUUUGGAGGUAAAUUUAACAGCAAUAUUACUGACCAAAUUUGAUAGUAUCUAUUUCAGUUGCUUGCUAUAACCUCUUAAGUGAUCGAACUCAUUAACUGAUCCAUCACUGAGAUCCAACACAACGUCUACACCUUUCUUUAUGCCAACAACAUAAAACAAGUCAGCCACAUCUUUAAGUAACUGUGACGUCUUAAGUUCUUCGAUCGUGUUCAUUCGUCACUUUUCCUGCUUCUAGCUUACUUCUGUCAAGGAUGUUAUUUAAAAGACUUGUACAGUAAAAAAGCAUUAAUAAUGACUCAUAUAAUUAUAUGAAACUUAGUCAUUAUUAAUGUUUUUACUGUGUAGGUCUUUUAAAUAACAUUAUUGAUAGAAGUAAGCUAGAAGCAGGAAAAAUGACGAAUGAACACAAAGAACUUAAGACGUCAUAGUUACUUGAAGAUGUGGCUGACUUGUUUCAUGUUGUUGGCAUAAAGAAAGGCGUAGACAUUGUGUUGGAUCUCAGCGACGGAUCGGUUAGUGAGUUAGAUCACGUAAGAGGGGAUCGCAAACAGCUAAAACAGAUAUUGUCUAAUUCGGUUAGUAAUGCUGUUAAAGUUACCUUCGAAUGAUAUGUCUCCAUUCGAGCUUAUGCCAGGAAGCCUACUUCUUCAAGUUCAACACCUGAUUCAACUAAAAGAGGUACUUUGAUCAUGGUUAUAUAUCAGGCUCUGGUUUUCCAAAAACUGAACUGAGUACAAAAUGAACAUUCAUCAUUUUCGAGACAAUGAAAAUUGCAUGGAGUUUGUUUUUGAGGUAGAUGAUACUGGAAUAGGAAUUCCCAAAGAUAAGCAAGAAAUAGCCUAUCUCGGGUGGAAAAUCAAACCACCUAGAAUUUUAAAGAUCUUGUGUUCUUUACUUGCUGCUUGUUUAAAUAUUUGCUAUUAGUUUGUUCUUGGAAUCAAAAAUCUCAAAGAUUGUAUUCAACCCCUUUGCAAUCUUGUUAGUGUAAAAUAACAGAGGAACUUGCUUCAAGUUCAACACCUAUAUCACUACAUGUGAAACUGAUCAAAGGGAUCAGUCCGAUGACACUGGAUCAUAUGGUGGUGCUUACAUGUCUCCAUGCAAAUCGUUUUCACCACAAGGUAUAAAGUUCAGUAGCUUUGAACUAACAGAAGGAUCUCGAGUAAUUUUCUUCGUCCAAAAUGAAGAAAGGAGUCGAGUGUGCAAAAGGUUCAUGGAUAGACAAAGAAUCGAAAGCCAGGGAGUCCGGAUAUACUACAAUGGUGUUACGUGUUUAAUUAGAUGCCAGUUAUGGAUGGCCUCGAAGCAACCCAAAAAAUAGGGCAAGAAGAAGCAAGAUAUGGGGUGCACAUUCCCACACUUGCCGUUAGUGCCCAUACAGAGGGUCCUGAGAUAAAGCUGAUGGUAGAAGCUGCAGGGGUGGAUUAUAACCUGGCCAAGCCAUUGAACGUCCAAAAAGUUAGAGAAGCUCUCAGAGUUUUGAAGGCUUGGGAUAAAUUGUUUUCUGCGUUAAGCACAUUUUGUUUGUAUUGGUGAUAACCAUUUGUCUCUACAUUUUUUAUCACAUGAGUGGAACUGUUUGAGCUAUUUGUUAACCCUUGGACGAGACUAAAAGAGCUCGAUAGUCAUGAGAGUACUCUUUCAGCUUGUUUCAAGAUGAGCUCAUAUUAGAAGCUCCUGUUAAGUCUUCAUGUUUUUAUACUGAUCUUAAAACCUUAUCUUAUGAAUUUUUAAUGCGUUCUUGGUAAUGUAAAUACUGUGUUUAGUUCCCACUUCCCACCUUGCUUAUAAAUUAUAGGGUUUUCCUGUUUUAUAUUAAGCUCAUCCUACUCCAGGCACCACUUUCUUUAUACACAAAGCACCUUUUUAUCUGUAGAUUUAUAAACUAGAACGUAUAUGCACCUGCACUUCCUGUUGUACGAUGUAAUUGGUCAGGUUGUGUUUAUUCUUGGAAAAAAGAGUUUAUGUGGAUGACAUUUUACACUAAAAAUUAUUUGAACCCAACCUUGCUAAACAAAUUAUAUUAUUUAUUAAAAAUCUCUUAUUUAAUUUUAAGAGGAUAUUUUACUGAUUUAUCGAAAAAGUCUCUGAUAAAUUUUGAAUCGGUAGCUCAAAAUUUUAAACAAAGGAUAAAGCUAAUUGGAACUUUAACAAAAGAACAUCCAUGGGAGAACAAUUAUAACUAAAACUUGUAGGUUUGUAGCUAAGAAAACAUCCUUUCCUUUGAAUUCAAACCCUUUGGAAAGCUAUUGCAGCGAUUUACAUAAAGCAGUAUUAUCUUCUUAUCUUCUAUACAUAACUUUGCAUAAGUAACUAAUACAAUUAAGCCAUAUCAUCUCCAACAUAAUUAGCCUUUACAGACUUAGAAUCAAACUGUGGUUUAGCAUCUAGGACUAAUGGAAUGCUCCUGUUAUACCAUUUAGCCCAAAAGAGAUAAUUCACAAAGUUGAUCAAACUCAGUACUGCUAGAAACCAGUAGAAAAGAUCCAACCUGUCGUGAUUCAGAUCAUUCUCCCCCAUCCAUCCGCGGCUCGAAGAAUUAGAAGUGAUCUUGUUCACCAAAGAAACAAGAACAGAGCUUAGGUAAAAGCCAAAUGAGUAUGAGCAAUAAGUCAUGGCAGUUAAAAAAGAUUGCAUCCCUUUAAUGUUCUGUUUGUAAAAGAACUCGAUCAAUCCUAUUGCAGUAAACAUUUCAGAUAAUCCGAAAAUCAAAUACUGUGGUGUUAUCCAAAAUAUGGAGAUGAUUUCAUUAGACUCCACUGCUGCAACCCUUCUUCUUUUCUCCAUUAUUGCAGCUGCAACCAUUGAAAAAGUUGCGACAAAGAGGCCAAGCCCUAUGCGCCUCAAGGGACUGAUUCCGGACUCAUGGCCAGUGAUUUUUCUGGCAAAAGGGACGAAAAAUCUGUCGUAGAGAGGGACCAAAAAGAUUAGGAUGAUGUAAGGG
rnacentral:lncRNA from 1 species